GAUGAAGAACGCAGCGAAAUGCGAUAAGUAGUGUGAAUUGCAGAAUUCAGUGAAUCAUCGAAUCUUUGAACGCACAUUGCGCCCCUUGGUAUUCCAUGGGGCAUGCCUGUUCGAGCGUCAUUUGUACCUUCAAGCUCUGCUUGGUGUUGGGUGUUUGUCUCGCCUCUGCGUGUAGACUCGCCUCAAAAUAAUUGGCAGCCGGCGUAUUGAUUUCGGAGCGCAGUACAUCUCGCGCUUUGCACUCAUAACGACGACGUCCAAAAGUACAUUUUUACACUCUUGACCUCGGAUCAGGUAGGGAUACCCGCUGAACUUAAGCAUACAAUAAGCGGAGGA
rnacentral:misc_RNA from 1 species